AACGAACGCUGGCGGCAUGCCUAACACAUGCAAGUCGAACGAGACCUUCGGGUCUAGUGGCGCACGGGUGCGUAACGCGUGGGAAACUGCCCUUAGGUUCGGAAUAACUCCCCGAAAGAGGUGCUAAUACCGGAUAAUGUCUUCGGACCAAAGAUUUAUCGCCUUUGGAUGGGCCCGCGUUGGAUUAGCUAGUUGGUAGGGUAAAAGCCUACCAAGGCGACGAUCCAUAGCUGGUCUGAGAGGAUGAUCAGCCACACUGGGACUGAGACACGGCCCAGACUCCUACGGGAGGCAGCAGUGGGGAAUAUUGGACAAUGGGCGAAAGCCUGAUCCAGCAAUGACGCGUGAGUGAUGAAGGCCUUAGGGUUGUAAAGCUCUUUUACCCGGGAUGAUAAUGACAGUACCGGGAGAAUAAGCUCCGGCUAACUCCGUG
rnacentral:rRNA from 1 species